rfam:Myotis brandtii contig212179, whole genome shotgun sequence.
GGCAGUUCUCGGGUGACGCACCCUGGAAUCAGGCACCCUCCUCUCUGGUUCCAGGUCCAUCACCUGAGAACAGCA